UAUAAAUUAGUAAAAUAACCGUUUCGAUAAUUGGCCCGACUUUAGGUUUGAAGGAUACGAAUGCCAGUACUACGAGCUCUCAGCAAAUCUUUCCAGAAAUGCAAGUCAGCUUCUCUUCUUUCCGAUACAGGUGUUAUCAUACUCAAACACUCUUUAUAUCUAACUCAAAUAUCAAUUUCUUGGUACUUCAAUUUUACAUAUCAGAAGAAGGAAAAGGUUUUGGAAAUAAAAUCUGGCGUAGAUGAUGCUAAAGUUUUGGUACUGUAUUUUAGUUGAUUAUUGUUAUAACUUAAAAUUUUAUGUUUUUAGUUAUAAUUUGAUGUUUGGUUUCGGAAAAUGGGUUAAGGUCCAUUAUCCAUUUCUAUAUUCAGUCGAAUUACAUAUAGAGUUAGGGAACGAUGUUGUAUUUCAUGAGUUCUUCUAAGCCUGUCCUCAGCUUAUUGGCAGUCAAUUUAUAAUCAGCUUCUAAGAAGCCGCCAAAGGAGAUUCUCAAAACGUAACACUAGGUCUUGGAGAUCACCCCGUGCUUAUGAGCAAGCCAGUGAACAACCGUGUAGUCAUCAACGUAUAAAAUUUUUGGGAUUUUAUUCGAUUUUCGAAGCACAGACUGGUAUAUUAUUGUGAUUUUGGGAUUUUAUUCGAUUCCAUUCACUUCGCUCAGGUUCUUCCACUAAUUUUUGCCACUCGUAAUUUUUCCACAAAUUUUUGCUCUUCGAUAACUGUAAGAGGAUUCUUUGCUCUCUGAUUUUUAAUUUGUUAAUUCAUUUAUUCCUUAUUUUGUUUGAUUUGGUAAUUAAAUUGUCUGGUUGAUUUUAAUUUAUUGGUUGAUUGUUAGAAUUGUUGGUAUUAUUGUUUGAAUGUUGAUUAUUUGUGCAUAUUAUGUGUUUGUAAAAAUUGGUGUGAGAUGCUUAAUUGUUAUUAUGGUCUUGUCUUUCUUUGUUGAUAUUAUCGAGUCUGAGAAUCACAGCCAUGGCAACAGGGGUUGGAAUAAAAUGCUGGAGUGGAUAAAAAACACCAGGUAAUGAAAUUUCAAGAGCAAAUGCAUAUGUGUUUCUCAAAUAAAUUGGAACAUGUGAGGCUGGAGCUUCACAUGAUUUUUAAGCAAUCGGUGAAGAAAAGGAGCCUUCACUUUAUAAUUGCUUGAGAAAUAAUAGGUAUGAUGAAACUUUUUGUUUAUGGUGUCUUUUUGUUUGAUAUAGAAAUUUGUGAGGUGGGAAGCCUACUCUGCCUUUACUUUUUUGCAUGAAGUUUUACCCUUUAUCUUUGUGAGCUAUUUUUUCCUUGCAGCUCAUAUCUUAAAAAAAUUGUUUAUAAUUGAUUAAAAUUUUGACAGUCUUAUUCUGAACCACUUCUUUCCGUGCUCCUAUUGAAGCUUCAGUUUUUGAAAUUCUUAAUUUUGAAAUUAUGGAGCUGUAUGGAGUCAAUAUAUUGAAGAUGCCUUUUUCGUGGAUGUCAUAUGGCAAUUCAUGCUUGAUACUCAAAUAAGUUUCUUUUCAUUUGAUUCGAUGGGAUUUGAAAUUCCUUUGUCAAGCGCAAUGUUGAUGGAACUUCUGUGAGCGUUGCUGAUGUACAGUGAAAAAGUUCAGGGAUCCCACAGCCGUCUGAAAGCAAUUCUACAGGUCAAAACAAUUCAGUUCCACCACUUCAGCAAAAUAAAACCAUUCACUGUAGAGGGUCUUGUUCUGGAUCUUGAUUCUAUACAAACUGAUAUGAAACAACGAGGUGAGAACAGCUACAUAUUAACAUAUAAUUUGUCAUUGGAAUAUGAUAAAAGGUGCAUAUCUAGAAUGUGUAUAUUCUUUUUUUUGUUAGCAUACUUUUUUUACAUGAGUUUAUUUCCUUUGCGGCUUUACAAUAAGGUUAUAUAUCUAUAUUCACAUAUUUAUACAAACAAAUAUCUAUACACAUUAUGGAAUGUAAAAACUGAUGAAAAAUUUUGUUUGUUAGGUCAUUACAGGGAGGAGAAUCAAUUGUUUAAAUGAUCUUUUAAGUUUUGAACCAGUGAAAUGAAUGUUCAAGCUCUACUUAUUAAUACUUCUUACAAUUGACCAUAUUUUCUCACUUAGAUCAUUUUUCAACUGAUUCAAGUAUUAUUGAAUUUCUCCUUUUCACUCCUAUUUGGAUAUGUCUUUUUGCCAAAUUUACUUCUAUCAUCCAUUAAUAGUUUUCUCUUCUCUA